rnacentral:rRNA from 1 species
GAUGAACGCUGGCGGCGUGCUUAACACAUGCAAGCCGAACGGAAAGGCUCCUGCUUGCAGUGGUACUCGAGUGGCGAACGGGUGAGUAACACGUGGGUGAUCUGCCCGGCACUUCGGGAUAAGCCUGGGAAACGGGGUCUAAUACCGGAUAGGACGAUGGUUUGGAUGCCAUUGUUGAAAGAUUUUGCGGUGUGGGCUGAUCGCGCGGCGUAUCAGCAUGUUGGUGGGGUAGUGGCCUACCAAGGCGUCGGCGGGUAGCCGGCCUGCGAGGGGGUACGGCCACACUGGGACGGCGCUACCGCCCAGCAUCAGUAGGGAGGCAUCGAUGGUGGAUAUUGGACAAUGGGAGCAAGGCUGAUUGCGGGACGCCGCGUGGGGGAUGACGGACCUCGGGUUGUAAGCUCCUUUCGCUCGGGACGAAGCGGAAGUGACGGUACCUGGAGAAGAAGCAACGGCUAACUACGUG